ACAUGCAAUCAGCGUUGCUGAAAGCAGCUGUCCAGGUCUCUUGUCGCUUAAAUUCCACUUCUCCUUGGAGCGGGGAUGAAGUCUGAGAUCUCGAAUGUGGCCUCUGAGGCCCCAUAAGAUCAGGCCCUGCUUUGUGUCCUGAUGCCAAGGUCCUCAAUGCUGAGAGCCCUGAGCCCAAGACAAGGUGUGGUGCACACAGACCUUGCCUGGAUCUUUUCGAAACCAGUGGUGGAUGGCCAAGAUUCAUUUCCACUUAUUUCCCAUGCAAAAGGCAAAGUUGUCAGCUGUUUGGUGAAUAUGUCAGAGCUCUGGCCUAGAAGAAUCUCCUGGAACCCUGGCUGCCUGGAG
rnacentral:lncRNA from 1 species